AUGUACAUACUAAUGUAUAUUCUGUUUGCUAACUCAGACACCAAUGCGCAGAUUGUGCUGACUCAGACUCCAGAAUCCCUGGCAGCGUCUCCUGGAGACACAGUCACUAUCCGCUGCAAAGCCAGUUCAAGCCUCACUAGUGGUAGCUAUCAAGUACUAGCCUGGUACCAACAGAAAUCAGGACAAGCUCCUAAAAUGCUUAUCUAUGAUGCUACCUCCCGGCCAUCUGGGGUUCCAACCCGGUUCAGCGGCAGUGGCUCUGGCACUGACUACACUCUCACAAUCAGCAGAGUUGAAACUGAAGAUGCUGGAGAUUAUUACUGUCAACAAGGCAAGAGCUUGCCUCUCACAGUGAUACGGACCAAUACAAAAACCUCCCCAUCCUGUUCCUUUCAGUGGACAGCUGCUUCCUAUGCCUACGUGCUACACUAG